GGAGGGCGCGAGCGUUGUCCGGAAUUACUGGGCGUAAAGGGGGCGCAGGCGGCUUGGCAAGUCUUGUGUGAAAGGCCACGGCUCAACCGUGGACAUGCACUAGAUACUACCGAGCUUGAGACGGGUAGAGGCGAGUGGAAUUCCCGGUGUAGCGGUGGAAUGCGUAGAUAUCGGGAAGAACACCAGUGGUGAAGGCGACUCGCUGGGCCCGUCCUGACGCUCAGGCCCGAAAGCGUGGGGAGCAAACAGGGAUUAGAUACCCUGGUAGUCCACGCCGUAAACGAUGGGCACUAGGUGCUGGGGAGUGUGACCUUUUCAGUGCCGUAGCUAACGCGUUAAGUGCCCCCGCCUGGGGAGUACGGCCGCAAGGCUG
rnacentral:rRNA from 1 species